rnacentral:tRNA from 1 species
UCUUUUAAAGGAUAUAGAGUAAUCCAACGGCCUUAGAAGCCGCUACUCUUGGUGCAACUCCAAGUAAAAGUA